GGGGCGGUAGCUCAUAGGUCGAGCGGCGACGGUUUACCGGCGCAGGCAGGCAGGUUCAAAUCCUGUACGCCCCACCA
rnacentral:tRNA from 1 species